CCUACGGGAGGCAGCAGUGAGGAAUAUUGGUCAAUGGACGCGAGUCUGAACCAGCCAAGUAGCGUGAAGGAUGACUGCCCUAUGGGUUGUAAACUUCUUUUAUAUGGGAAUAAAAUGCGGUAUGUGUCCUUCUUUGCAUGUACCUUAUGAAUAAGGAUCGGCUAACUCCGUGCCAGCAGCCGCGGUAAUACGGAGGAUCCGAGCGUUAUCCGGAUUUAUUGGGUUUAAAGGGAGCGUAGGUGGGUUGUUAAGUCAGUUGUGAAAGUUUGCGGCUCAACCGUAAAAUUGCAGUUGAUACUGGCAGGCUUGAGUACAGUUGAGGUAGGCGGAAUUCGUGGUGUAGCGGUGAAAUGCUUAGAUAUCACGAAGAACCCCGAUUGCGAAGGCAGCCUGCUAAACUGUGACUGACGCUGAUGCUCGAAAGUGUGGGUAUCAAACAGGAUUAGAUACCCGUGUAGUC
rnacentral:rRNA from 1 species